rnacentral:rRNA from 1 species
UACCAGCACCCGAGUGGUCGGGACGAUUAUUGGGCCUAAAGCAGUCCGUAGCCGGUUUUACAAGUCCCCCGUUAAAUCCAGCUGCUUAACAGAUGGGCUGCGGAGGAUACUAUAAGACUAGGAGGCAGGAGAGGCAAGCGGUACUCAGUGGGUGAGGGGUAAAAUCCGUUGAUCCAUUGAAGACCACCAGUGGCGAAGGCGGCUUGCCAGAAU